rnacentral:rRNA from 1 species
GAUGAACGCUGGCGGCGUGCUUAACACAUGCAAGUCGAACGAACCUUCGGGUUAGUGGCGGACGGGUGAGUAACGCGUGAGAAUCUGCCCUCAGGAGGGGGAUAACGGUUGGAAACGACCGCUAAUACCCCAUAUGCCGAUAGGUGAAAUGAAUUUCGCCUGAGGAUGAGCUCGCGUCUGAUUAGCUUGUUGGUGAGGUAAUGGCUCACCAAGGCUUCGAUCAGUAGCUGGUCUGAGAGGAUGAUCAGCCACACUGGGACUGAGACACGGCCCAGACUCCUACGGGAGGCAGCAGUGGGGAAUUUUCCGCAAUGGGCGAAAGCCUGACGGAGCAACGCCGCGUGAGGGACGAAGGCCUCUGGGCUGUAAACCUCUUUUCUCAAGGAAGAAGAUAUGACGGUACUUGAGGAAUAAGCCACGGCUAAUUCCGUGCCAGCAGCCGCGGUAAUACGGGAGUGGCAAGCGUUAUCCGGAAUUAUUGGGCGUAAAGCGUCCGCAGGCGGCCUUUCAAGUCUGCUGUUAAAGCGUGGAGCUUAACUCCAUUAUGGCAGUGGAAACUGAUCGGCUUGAGUAUGGUAGGGGCAGAGGGAAUUCCCGGUGUAGCGGUGAAAUGCGUAGAUAUCGGGAAGAACACCAGUGGCGAAGGCGCUCUGCUGGGCCAUUACUGACGCUCAUGGACGAAAGCCAGGGGAGCGAAAGGGAUUAGAUACCCCUGUAGUCCUGGCCGUAAACGAUGAACACUAGGUGUCGGGGGAAUCGACCCCUUCGGUGUCGUAGCUAACGCGUUAAGUGUUCCGCCUGGGGAGUACGCACGCAAGUGUGAAACUCAAAGGAAUUGACGGGGGCCCGCACAAGCGGUGGAGUAUGUGGUUUAAUUCGAUGCAACGCGAAGAACCUUACCAGGGUUUGACAUCCUGAGAACCUCUUAGAAAUUUGAGGGUGCCUUCGGGAAUUCAGUGACAGGUGGUGCAUGGCUGUCGUCAGCUCGUGUCGUGAGAUGUUGGGUUAAGUCCCGCAACGAGCGCAACCCACGUUUUUAGUUGCCAGCAUUUAGUUGGGCACUCUAGAAAGACCGCCGGUGAUAAACCGGAGGAAGGUGUGGAUGACGUCAAGUCAUCAUGCCCCUUACACCCUGGGCUACACACGUACUACAAUGCUACGGACAAAGGGCAGCAAACUCGCGAGAGCUAGCAAAUCCCAUAAACCGUGGCUCAGUUCAGAUCGUAGGCUGCAACUCGCCUACGUGAAGUAGGAAUCGCUAGUAAUCGCAGGUCAGCAUACUGCGGUGAAUACGUUCCCGGGCCUUGUACACACCGCCCGUCACACCAUGGAAGUUGGCCAUGCCCGAAGUCGUUACUCCAACCCUUGUGGAGGAGGACGCCGAAGGUGGGGCUAAUGACUGGGGUGAAGUCGUAACAAGGUAGCCGUACCGGAAGGUGCGGCUGGAUCACCUCCU